CUGCGGUCAAUCCCUGACGUGCAGAAGCGGAGGUGUAUGCUGACCCGGAAGGAUCCCAACAGCAGUCAAGAAGAGAAGAGGAGGAUGCGCAGCAAGCAGCGGAGCCCACCCGAGCCCAGCCCACCGCAGCCCAGCCCAGCCAAGGAUGCAGCGCAGCGCAAUCCAGGCCAGCCGAGGAUCCAAUUCCGCUACCAGGAACCCUAACAGAGAAGCAUUUUGAAUUUAUUUCUUUCCUUCUGUCUCUUCUCUGUCUUCUGAGCACUUCCCUAAUCUAACAGAACUAACCAUGCCCUACCCCUUAACAUAGAUUUUGUUGUAAUUUCACCGAAUUUGUGUGCUUUGUUUCAUUGUUUUGAAUUUUUACUAAUCUCGUCUCAGUUGUAUAUUUUCAGGCGCUCGGACGUGGUACAACGCGGGAGCACCCAGCCAGCCAGCCAGCCGCCAGCCAGCCGCCAUCCAGCCAGCCACAGAUGUAGAGGAAGGAGCCCAUUGCCCAGCUUUGUCUAGUGGCUUACAUUUGCCAAGGCGGUGAGAUACAGGCUGCUAUUGUAGCACUUCCGGAUCCCUGUUUUGCAUUUUAACUUGAUCA